rnacentral:rRNA from 1 species
AAAGAAACCAACAGGGAUUGCCUCAGUAACGGCGAGUGAAGCGGCAAGAGCUCAAAUUUGAAAUCUGGCGCCUUCGGCGUCCGAGUUGUAAUUUGCAGAGGAUGCUUCGGAUGCAGCCCCCGUCUAAGUGCCCUGGAACGGGCCGUCGGAGAGGGUGAGAAUCCCGUCUGGGAUGGGGUGCCUGCGUCCGUGUGAAGCUCCUUCGACGAGUCGAGUUGUUUGGGAAUGCAGCUCUAAGUGGGUGGUAAAUUUCAUCUAAAGCUAAAUAUUGGCCGGAGACCGAUAGCGCACAAGUAGAGUGAUCGAAAGAUGAAAAGCACUUUGAAAAGAGAGUUAAACAGCACGUGAAAUUGUUGAAAGGGAAGCGCUUGCGACCAGACUCGCCUGCGGGGUUCAGCCGGGAUUCGUCCCGGUGUACUUCCCCGCUGGCGGGCCAGCGUCGGUUUGGGCGGCCGGUCAAAGGCCUCCGGAAUGUAGCACCCCCCGGGGUGUCUUAUAGCCGGAGGUGCAAUGCGGCCUGCCUGGACCGAGGAACGCGCUUCGGCUCGGACGCUGGCAUAAUGGUCGUAAGCGAC